UACGGGGGGGGCAAGCGUUGUUCGGAUUCAUUGGGCGUAAAGGGCGCGUAGGCGGCGGGGUAAGUCUGGUGUGAAAUCUCGGAGCUCAACUCCGAAAUUGCACUGGAUACUGCUCUGCUAGAGGGCUGGAGAGGAGAUCGGAAUUCACGGUGUAGCAGUGAAAUGCGUAGAUAUCGUGAGGAAGACCAGUGGCGAAGGCGGAUCUCUGGACAGCUCCUGACGCUGAGGCGCGAAGGCUAGGGGAGCAAACGGG
rnacentral:rRNA from 1 species